CACGUAGGGCGCAAGCGUUGUCCGGAAUUAUUGGGCGUAAAGAGCUCGUAGGCGGUUUGUCGCGUCUGCCGUGAAAGUCCGGGGCUCAACUCCGGAUCUGCGGUGGGUACGGGCAGACUAGAGUGAUGUAGGGGGAGACUGGAAUUCCUGGUGUAGCGGUGAAAUGCGCAGAUAUCAGGAGGAACACCGAUGGCGAAGGCAGGUCUCUGGGCAUUAACUGACGCUGAGGAGCGAAAGCAUGGGGAGCGAACAGG
rnacentral:rRNA from 1 species